GUAGUGCAGCACCUCGAUGUGGCGCUUGAAGUCCACCGCGUUGGUGAGGCCCGGGCCGGAGCUGCGGAUGCGGGGCCUGGCGGGUGCCUGGCGAGCCGGCAGCAGCACGGGACCGAAGCACACGGCCAGAGGGAAGACGAUGUGAAGACACAGGGAGAAGACGGCAUCUGCAAGCCAAGGAGAGAGGCCUCAGAGGGAGCCAAGCAUGCUGACAUCUUAUCUCCAGAUCUCCUCCAGAACUGGGGGAAAAUAAAUUUCUGUUGUUUAAGCCA